rnacentral:rRNA from 1 species
GUGGGGAAUUUUGCGCAAUGGGGGCAACCCUGACGCAGCAACGCCGCGUGCGGGACGAAGGCGUCCGCGUCGUAAACCGCUUUCAGCGGGGAACACUUAAACGAGGGUACCCGCAGAAGAAGCCCCGGCUAAAUACGUGCCAGCAGCCGCGGUAAUACGUAUGGGGCGAGCGUUAUCCGGAUUCAUUGGGCGUAAAGCGCGCGUAGGCGGAGCGCUAAGCGGGACCUCUAACCCGAGGGCUCAACCCCCGGCCGGGUCCCGAACUGGCGCUCUCGAGUGCGGUAGGGGAGAGCGGAAUUCCCGGUGUAGCGGUGGAAUGCGCAGAUAUCGGGAAGAACACCGACGGCGAAGGCAGCUCUCUGGGCCGAAACUGACGCUGAGGCGCGAAAGCUGGGGGAGCGAACAGGAUUAGAAACCCCAGUAGUCC